GUUUCUGUACUGAAUAAUUUUGUAAAAUCCAAGUAUUAUUAAUUCCAUAAUAUGUUAAAAAAACAUUAAUAAUUCCGUAAUUACAAAAAUCCAUUUAAUUUCCAAACUCGAUCAGAACAAAUUAAUUGAUUGAAAAUGGGCAUGUUCCAGUAAAAAAAAAAAGUUAAAAAAAAUAUAAAUUAAAGAAGGGUUAAGUACCAAUUUUCCCCCAAUAUUGACACCCCUAUCGCAUUUAACACCCUAAUGGGGUUACCGCUGUUUAUUACCUCAACGUGUAAAAAGUGAAACAAAU
rnacentral:lncRNA from 1 species